GAAGAAACUGGAGUGAAGGGCCCCUCUCCCCCCACAGAGGGUCAGGGGAGGGGGAUGUGACACAUGUGUCUGUGCUUAGGGCAUAUCAUGAACACAGUGAGGCCUGUUGGUGAGUCUAAUAAAAUUAAAAGACAACGAUAACUAAUAGGAACUUUGAAUAUUCAGUGGUAUGAGAGUAACCUCGCCUUUUUGUGUGUCCUUCCAAUAGAUAAAAAGGAGCAAAAUUGUUGGGAUGCCUAUGAUUUCAAAAUAUUAAUUCAUAAUAAGCAUAAAACACAUUUUAAAGCACAUAUUAUGGGUCCAGAAGAACACAUCUUUCAGUCUUCAAGAAGUAUUUAAACUACUCUGGCAGAUGAAGAACAAGAAAGUUUCAAACUCAAAUUGAUAACAUCUCUCUGGGAUGCUGCUCACAAGAAGACAUGUCAUUGUUUGCGGUGUUCCCAAAUAGUGCUGCAGUCUCCAAAAGUACUCUUGUAUACAUUAAAGCUCAUAUUUUUAAUAUUUUUAUACUGCAAAUAGCUCAAGGGAAAAAAAAAUAAAUGAAUAUUUAGCAGAAGUAGCUCCAUUAACUGCCUCUGAUGAUCCAAUGUUAGAGUAAACUGAGGUAAUAAUCGUAGGUUCACCAGCUGCAAUAUGAAACAAAUCAUAGUUGCCUACCAGAGAGAUGGAGAGAGUUUUCUGAACCUAAAUAUACCACGUUCUUCAGGAAGGAUUUGGAUCUAGCUCAGCUGAAUUUUCCUCCAGGCUCUAUCACCUGUACCACCUAGAGCUCCACUGAUGAAAUGGAGAUUCUAUGUGAUGCGUUGACACCUAUGCUGUAAGCACCUAAAUAUACAAGUAGGAAACAGCAGCAGCUGUCAGUGCCUGAAAGGAAAAAAAAUGCAGUUCUCCAGAUAAAAGUUAAGUCAUGCUCAUCAGCUUUCUCCUUGCUGUCCAUAUCCUGAGUGAGAACAUCUUGGCAUCAAGCUGCCUUGAUGGGCUGCAUUAGCUGGCUUAAACCAGAUCACCUUUGGUAAGGCUGCCCCUGUCUGCUCAGGAUUAACUAACAGAACCUCUCAGAAGCAGCAACAGAGAGAGAGCUACCUAGACCAUGGCCAUGGUGGAAUUAGUUCUUCACCUAGGUGGAGAGAAAAACAUGCAUGACAUUUCCAUUAGCCUAGAAGGCAGAAACAUCUGGUUACUUGGUUCAGCUCAUCAGCAGGAGAGCCUGCAGUUGAUUAGCCCUUCUCUCAGUAGUAGGCGUUACUACAGUCAGUGGGAAUUACUAAACAUGGUUUCAGGGGACCGACGUUAAUUUGGCUUGCCAAAAUAAUAUGCAAUUUUUUAAGGAGUUUGCGUUAAUUAGUUGUAUAAUUUGAUGUGAUGUGAUUGGUUUUGCACAAAGAAAAUCAGAACAGGGUUUGCUAUUAGAAGCUGCUGUAGGAGAAUCAAGAGAUGGCACUUAAACAGCUCACAGUGUGAAUUUGCAGGGGUGAAAGGCCUUAGUUCAUGAUCUAAUUAUACAAUGGGAUUCCCUUUCUCAAAAGCUAAAAGCCUUUUGAUUCUUUUUUGUCUUCUAAGAUACUUUAUUUUGAUUACUGUACUUUUAAUUCCUUGCACCUACUAUUUCAACACAGAUUAAGUCACUUUGGAUAUCCUAUUUUGGCCUGUUUUGUAUAAUAUUC